ACGGGGUGCAGCAGGCGCGAAAACUUUACAAUGCGGGAAAUCGUGAUAAGGGAACACCGAGUGCCAGCAUCAUAUGCUGGCUGUCCAGAUGUGUAAACUACAUCUGUUAGUAAGGGCCGGGCAAGACCGGUGCCAGCCGCCGCGGUAACACCGGCGGCCCGAGUGGUGACCGUUAUUAUUGGGUCUAAAGGGUCCGUAGCCGGUUUGGUCAGUCCUCCGGGAAAUCUGAUAGCUUAACUAUUAGACUUUCGGGGGAUACUGCCAGGCUUGGAACCGGGAGAGGUAAGAGGUACUACAGGGGUAGGAGUGAAAUCUUGUAAUCCCUGUGAGACCACCUGUGGCGAAGGCGUCUUACCAGAACGGGUUCGACGGUGAGGGACGAAAGCUGGGGGCACGAACCGGAUUAGAUACCCGGGUAGUCCCAGCCGUAAACUAUGCUCGCUAGGUGUCAGGCAUGGCGCGACCGUGUCUGGUGCCGCAGGGAAGCCGUGAAGCGAGCCACCUGGGAAGUACGGCCGCAAGGCUGAAACUUAAAGGAAUUGGCGGGGGAGCAC
rnacentral:rRNA from 1 species